GACUCUGGCCAUGCCACUUUGAACAAGCCCAAUCCUGUCUGAUCUCAGAAGCUAAGCAGGAUCGAGCCUGGUUAGUACGUGGAUGAGAGACCACCUAGGAAGACCAGGUGCUGUAGAUG
ensembl:rRNA 5S_rRNA 5S ribosomal RNA